AUAGCGGUAUGGAUGUCGGAAAAGAAGCUACAGAAAAUUAAUUGGCAAGAGCUGGUCGCUGCUUGCUCUAAACGGGGUUUCGAGGUGUUCAAACUGGAUCUCAACAAAUGCCUGAAAGAACAAGGCCCAUUUUGCGUACUACUGCAUAAACUAACAGACAUCAUUGCUUUGGCCAACCAAGGGGA
rnacentral:lncRNA from 1 species